rnacentral:rRNA from 1 species
UACGAAGGGGGCUAGCGUUGCUCGGAGUCACUGGGCGUAAAGGGUGCGUAGGCGGGUCUUUAAGUCAGGGGUGAAAUCCCGGAGCUCAACUCCAGAACUGCCUUUGAUACUGAAGAUCUUGAGUUCGGGAGAGGUGAGUGGAACUGCGAGUGUAGAGGUGAAAUUCGUAGAUAUUCGCAAGAACACCAGUGGCGAAGGCGGCUCACUGGCCCGAUACUGACGCUGAGGUGCGAAAGCGUGGGGAGCAAACAGG